UACGAAGGGGGCUAGCGUUGCUCGGAAUUACUGGGCGUAAAGGGCGCGUAGGCGGCACUGUUAGUCAGGCGUGAAAUUCCUGGGCUCAACCUGGGGACUGCGCUUGAUACGGCAGAGCUAGAGGAUGGAAGAGGCUCGCGGAAUUCCCAGUGUAGAGGUGAAAUUCGUAGAUAUUGGGAAGAACACCGGUGGCGAAGGCGGCGAGCUGGUCCAUUACUGACGCUGAGGUGCGAAAGCGUGGGGAGCAAACAGG
rnacentral:rRNA from 1 species